GGGGAAGUGUUCUGGCUCAGUGGCAGAGCAUCUGCUUUGCAUGGAGCAGGUCCCAGGUUCAAUCCCCAGUGGCAUCCCCA